rnacentral:rRNA from 1 species
CACGUAGGGCGCGAGCGUUGUCCGGAAUUAUUGGGCGUAAAGAGCUCGUAGGCGGCCUGUUGCGUCCGCUGUGAAAGCCCGGGGCUUAACCCCCGGGUCGGCAGUGGAUACGGGCAGGCUAGAGGUAGGUAGGGGAGAAUGGAAUUCCCGGUGUAGCGGUGAAAUGCGCAGAUAUCGGGAGGAACACCGGUGGCGAAGGCGGUUCUCUGGGCCAUAACUGACGCUGAGGAGCGAAAGCGUGGGGAGCGAACAGG